GGUCUUAUGGUCUAGUGGUUAGGACAUUGGACUCUGAAUCCAGUAACCCGAGUAAAAGUCUCGGUAGGACCU
rnacentral:tRNA from 1 species